UACGAAGGGGGCUAGCGUUGCUCGGAAUCACUGGGCGUAAAGGGCGCGUAGGCGGCGUUUUAAGUCGGGGGUGAAAGCCUGUGGCUCAACCACAGAAUUGCCUUCGAUACUGGGACGCUUGAGUCUGGUAGAGGUUGGUGGAACUGCGAGUGUAGAGGUGAAAUUCGUAGAUACUCGCAAGAACACCGGUGGCGAAGGCGGCCAACUGGACCAGUACUGACGCUGAGGCGCGAAAGCGUGGGGAGCAAACAGG
rnacentral:rRNA from 1 species